CUUGCUUCUCUUGAGAGCGGCGGACGGGUGAGUAAUGCCUAGGAAUCUGCCUGGUAGUGGGGGAUAACGUUCGGAAACGGACGCUAAUACCGCAUACGUCCUACGGGAGAAAGCAGGGGACCUUCGGGCCUUGCGCUAUCAGAUGAGCCUAGGUCGGAUUAGCUAGUUGGUGGGGUAAUGGCUCACCAAGGCGACGAUCCGUAACUGGUCUGAGAGGAUGAUCAGUCACACUGGAACUGAGACACGGUCCAGACUCCUACGGGAGGCAGCAGUGGGGAAUAUUGGACAAUGGGCGAAAGCCUGAUCCAGCCAUGCCGCGUGUGUGAAGAAGGUCUUCGGAUUGUAAAGCACUUUAAGUUGGGAGGAAGGGUUGUAGAUUAAUACUCUGCAAUUUUGACGUUACCGACAGAAUAAGCACCGGCUAACUCUGUGCCAGCAGCCGCGGUAAUACAGAGGGUGCAAGCGUUAAUCGGAAUUACUGGGCGUAAAGCGCGCGUAGGUGGUUUGUUAAGUUGGAUGUGAAAUCCCCGGGCUCAACCUGGGAACUGCAUUCAAAACUGACUGACUAGAGUAUGGUAGAGGGUGGUGGAAUUUCCUGUGUAGCGGUGAAAUGCGUAGAUAUAGGAAGGAACACCAGUGGCGAAAGCGACCACCUGGACUAAUACUGACACUGAGGUGCGAAAGCGUGGGGAGCAAACAGGAUUAGAUACCCUGGUAGUCCACGCCGUAAACGAUGUCAACUAGCCCGUUGGAAGCCUUGAGCUUUUA
rnacentral:rRNA from 1 species